rnacentral:rRNA from 1 species
CAAUAGCGUAUAUUAAAGUUGUUGCAGUUAAAAAGCUCGUAGUUGGAUUUGUGGUUCGUCCCGCCGGCUGGGUCAUUGACCUUUGCUGUGCUGGUCGUCCAUCCUUGGGUGGAAUCUGUGUGGCAUUAGGUUGUCGCGCAGGGGAUGCCCAUCGUUUACUGUGAAAAAAUUAGAGUGUUCAAAGCAGGCUUAUGCCGUUGAAUAUAUUAGCAUGGAAUAAUGAUAUAGGACCUUGGUACUAUUUUGUUGGUUUGCGCACUGAGGUAAUGAUUAAUAGGGACAGUUGGGGGUAUUCGUAUUCCAUUGUAAGAGGUGAAAUUCUUGGAUUUUUGGAAGACGAACUACUGCGAAAGCAUUUACCAAGGAUGUUUNCAUUA